rnacentral:rRNA from 1 species
AUUGAACGCUGGCGGCAUGCCUUACACAUGCAAGUCGAACGGUAACGGGCCUUCGGGUGCCGACGAGUGGCGAACGGGUGAGUAAUACAUCGGAACGUGCCCGAUCGUGGGGGAUAACGAGGCGAAAGCUUUGCUAAUACCGCAUACGAUCUACGGAUGAAAGCAGGGGACCGCAAGGCCUUGCGCGGACGGAGCGGCCGAUGGCAGAGUAGGUAGUUGGUGGGAGAAAAGCUUACCAAGCCGACGAUCUGUAGCUGGUCUGAGAGGAUGAUCCGCCACACUGGGAAUGGGACACGGCCCAGACUCCUACGGGAGGCAGCAGUGGGGAAUUUUGGACAAUGGGCGCAAGCCUGAUCCAGCCAUGCCGCGUGCAGGAUGAAGGCCUUCGGGUUGUAAACUGCUUUUGUACGGAACGAAAAGCCUUCUUCUAAUACAGGAGGGUCAUGACGGUACCGUAAGAAUAAGCACCGGCUAACUACGUGCCAGCCGCCGCAGUAA